ensembl:lncRNA
CUGGCUCUAAGUCCAUCCCCUUAGUUAUUGGUAGUACCCAUAAACGAGAAAUUUUGCCAUUCUGCAUCCUAUGCAGAGAAAUAACAGAGCUGUUAGUCCCUGCCCAGCACAUGAGCCACUUCUCAAUCUGUAACAGAAUGAUGUUCUGAAACAACCUUCUUACUCAAACCAUCAGCUAAAGCGCUCUUCGUAGCCUGACCACCUGCAGCCCUGCUUGCCUCACAGACACACUGGGGUCAAAGCAUCAGCCCAAGGAAUGGGCUUGGACCAUCUCAAGACUGACCAGCUGCUCUGCACAUAUUCAGGGAAAUCCCUGAAGGACAAUGAGAUGUCCCCAGAACUAGCAUGUGCCCAAUGAAUUCUUGAUGACAUGAGUGCCUUGAACAAGAGAUUCCCCAGUUGUCUCCAUAGAGAAGCCCAUCUUCUAGAAAGCUAUCUUGACCCCAUAAAUGACCCUUAGGUGGAUGCUCCUACUUAUUAGUUUUGCUAGUUGUAAACACAUAUACAAAUCCUUGAGAAAUUAUGCUAUUUGGCCACAAAGCCAAAACAAAUCAAAUACUCAUCACAUUCUCCGUUAAUGUAUUUGACAUAAAUUGCAUUUAAGCAGAACUAGGGUGUGAUCGCAGAGCUGUUUGAUGGCAGCCAUUUGUGCACACUGCUCACUUAUGCUCUGGGUUUAUUACUGAUAUUCUGUACGAAAAAUGAAUCUUCCCAUGUUGAGAAAUUAACUUGGUCUUAGUGGAGAUAGUCUAAGAGGUCACAAAAAUAGUGCAAUUAAUUCAGCAUUUCUGUCUCCAAGUGAUGGGUUACAACAAAUUAUGAAGUGUAAUUAUGGUUAUUAAACAUCAGAGCAUUUGGCAAAAUCAGUUAAUUUUUUCAAGACAAACCAUUCAGAAUUGGCUUUGGCUUUUGAUUGAAUUAUUCACAUCUUCAUCUGGUGCUUUGCCAUCAUGUAUACACACAUGAGGAGGCUCCAGGGGCAGGAUUUUGGUGGUAGUGCCAAAUACAAGAAGGAAAAGAGAAUGGCCAUGGAUGUAGGUUUGGUUUCUUGAACUCACUUGAAAACUCACUUCUUUGGAGAUAACCCUGCUAAAACCCAGUAUGUUGCAUCUUGGUUUCAGUUUAUAAUAAGAUUUGUAUAUGUGGGUGCUCAGCAGUAAAUAAUCCAUCUGCCAGUGCAGGAGGCUUGGGUUCAAUCCCUGGGUCGGAAAGAUCCCCUGGAGAAGGAAAUGGCAAUCCACUCCAGCAUUUUCGCCUGGAGAAUUCUAUGGAGAGAAGAGCCUUGUGGGCUAGAGUCCGUAGGGUCACAAGGAGUCGGACACGAUGAGCGGCUGAACACACUUUGAGAAUUAGGAAUAAGGAAAAUGAAAUACUCAUUUCCCAGGUCAAGGUCCUAGUAUUGAGUGAAGAAUGGGGACCCUAAGAGGACUUGCCCUGCUCUCUGUGUUUCUGGCUAAAAGCUAACUUGUCUUCUUUCUAUGUCAUAUUCUGCAGGGUAGAUCUGAAUUGUGGAAGUCACAUGACAGAAUUAACCAGAUCAGAUAAACUGCCUUGGGGAAGAAUGACUCAGAUCUUACUGUAAGUGUGUCCAAUGACUCCUGACUGUGGGGAGCAGAACCAUGAAAUGCAUGCUGGGAAGGAUUAGAUAUUCUCUUUUCUCUUUCUUUCUUCCAUUUUCCCUCUCUCUCCACUACUUGUCUUUUGUUUCUCUGCCUUCUUUCUCCUUCCCAUCUUUCCUGUCCAAAUGAUGGGGAUAGUCUGGUCAAAGCUAUAAAGGAGAAAAGAAGGACUUUUGAAACAGAGGCUAGUCAGGCAACAGGUUUGGCUGAGAUGAAAGGAUGAGGGUUGGGAGUAAAAAAGAAAUUUGAGCAUGCACUUACGCAGAUGACGUUGAAAAGUGGGAUACUUUAGUCCCAAAGGACAAUUGUGAGCUUGGUAAAUUCUGGAGCAUGAAAUUGAUGUGAUAAACAUAGUAUCGAGAAGGACAUUUUACUAGCAAGUGGAGCUAACUGUGGCAGAACCUAAUGUUUCUUUAUCAAGGGACAGAGCCAGCCAUCUGGCCCAGUUCUAGGUUGUAGAGUCUACAAGCAUCCUAAUUAACUAAAGAAUUGAUUGCUGUCAGCAGGAGAUCACUCUGGAAGACUUGAAGAUGCUUCUAAUACAUACACAUGGCCAUUUCCUGCUGUCUCCAGACUUAGAGUUCCUCUCCAGAACACCUGGGCCCUCCUUCAUGGUUCAGCUGGAACGCCUUCAUUUCAAGGACAUUUUCCCUGACCUGCUCCAUUUGAUUACUUUCCCCUGUCAUCGUUUGUAUACACUACUCUUUUCACCUGCCCCUGUGGGAUCUUGCCCUCUGAAGAGGCCCCAUCUCACUGCACUUCUAUUGCCCCUUGGGAGCUGCGACUGUCUUUAACUCUCCAGUCAAUGGCCCCAACACUGCGUCACAUAGCAGGGUUUGAUCCCUGAAUUGGGAAGAUUCCCUGGAGAAGGAAAUGACAACUUAUUCCAGUAUUCCUGCUGAAAAAAUCACUUGGACAGAGGAGCCUGGAGGCUACAGGGGUCGCAAAGGGUCAGACAUGACCGAGCAACUAACACUUCCACUUCAAAAAACAGGAACGUGAGACCCUCUCCUAGAUGGAAAUAUUUUCUGGAAAUUUCCAAGAUCCAAGAGCUCUUCUGCCCUCUCCAUACUUCUGUUCUUCUGUGUGGUUCCUCUGCAACUUCCAACAGAGAGGCUCAUGGUUCAGCUCUGCCUCUGACACCACUCACAUACAAGUGAGGGCUUCCCAGGUGGCGCUGAUGGUAAAGAACUCACCUGCCAAUGCAAGAGACACAAGAGACAUGGGUUCGAUUCCUGGAUGGGGACGAUCCCCUGGAGUAGGAAAUGGAAACCCACUCCAGCAUCCUUGCCUGUAAAAUUCCAUGGACAGAGGAGGGCUACAGUUCAUGGGGUCAUAAAGAGUUGGACACAACUGAGCACCACACCACAUGCAAUUGGAAUUGCCAAG